GACGAACCGUGCGAACGUUGUUCGGAAUCACUGGGCUUAAAAGGCGCGUAGGCGGCAGAUCAAGUCCGGGGUGAAAUACUUCAGCUUAACUGGAGAAGUGCCUCGGAUACUGAUUUGCUCGAGGGAGGUAGGGGUCGAGGGAACUUCUGGUGGAGCGGUGAAAUGCGUUGAUAUCAGAAGGAACGCCGGUGGCGAAAGCGCUCGACUGGAUCUCUUCUGACGCUGAGGCGCGAAAGCUGAGGGGAGCAAACGGGGAUUAAGAAC
rnacentral:rRNA from 1 species